rnacentral:rRNA from 1 species
UAUCUUCUGGGUUGUCUCUGCUCCAUGGGUUAAAUAGCCGCAGUAUUUUGACUGUGCUAAGGUAGCAUAAUAAUUUGUUCUUUAAUUAAGAGCUAGAAUGAAGGAGUUGACGACACUUAAACUUUUUAGUUAGAGUUAUGGAAUUUAAUAUUUGCUUUAAAAAGAGUAAAUUAAUUAGGGGGACGAUAAGACCCUAUAAAACUUUAAUUUAAGCUAUUUAUAUUAUUUAGUGUAAAAUAAAUAUUUAAAUUUAAGCUGGGGCGGCAUUUAAAUUACAUUAAUAGUGCUAACAUAUUUAGUGAUAUUAAGGAUCUUACUAAGAGAUAGAACAAGUUACUUUAGGGAUAACAGCACAAUUUUUCCAAAUAGUUCACAUAAAAGGAAAAGACUUGUGACCUCGAUGUUGAAUUAAGGUGUCUUAUUAAGCAAAAAU